rnacentral:misc_RNA from 1 species
GAUGAAGAACGUAGCGAAAUGCGAUAAGUAAUGUGAAUUGCAGAAUCCAGCGAAUCAUCAAAUCUUUGAACGCACAUUGCGCCCGCCAGCAUUCUGGCGGGCAUGCCUGUUCGAGCGUCAUUUCAACCCUCGACCUCCCUUUGGGGAAGUCGGCGUUGGGGACCGGCAGCACACCGCCGGCCCUGAAAUGGAGUGGCGGCCCGUCCGCGGCGACCUCUGCGUAGUAAUCCAACUCGCACCGGAACCCCGACGCGGCCACGCCGUAAAACACCCAACUUCUGAACGUUGACCUCGAAUCAGGUAGGACUACCCGCUGAACUUAAGCAUAUCAAUAAGCGGAGGA